GGAGGGGAUGGAAUUUUUUCCUAAAUAGAUCACCUAGAUAUUCUACCAAAUGGAACUGGGUCAUGUAACACCUUUAAGUGAGUCAAAAUUUAAAGUGCCGUUUAAGUAAGUCAGAAUUUGUGCGCUCUGGGACUGGAAAAAUCUCUAUAAAAAACACAUGCUAAGAUCAACCUAAUGAUAAAAUCUUAUUUUUGAGGGUGAUAAUUUUAAGUUGACAGGAUCACAGAUGAUGCUUAUAAAAUACAAAUCAGUAUCAGAGAUAUAAAGAAAAUUAGCCUCAGUCUAGAUAUUUUUAUUUUCUAAGUGCUGACAAGCAUCAUUUUUGUGAUAAAUCUUAUAGAUUAAAAAAACAAAAUAAAUGCAUUUAUCAGCUACCUGAAAGCAUUCCCCCCAAUAUGUUAAUCUGCAUUUUUACAUGGAGACAUAUUUAGAAUUUCUCUUUGUGACAAUACAUCUACGGAAGUGCAAACAUGAGCACUGGAAAACUUCAUGCUUAGCUGCCUAACUGAAGUUUCACUUAGAAAAUUUGUGUGGCGACAAGUGGCUUUGUGAGGGCACAAUACUACAGGUGUAUUUAUGCUUGAAAACUUGCCCUCUAGUGCUAACACUUUCCCUAAGCAAGAUGUGGUAAAAUUAAUCCAAAGAAAUUGUGCACCCUAUUUUAUGGUUAAAUAUGAGGGAAUAUUAUGCUUUACCAAAACAAAUAAUCUUAAUACAUGUUACAUUUUUAGAGCUCUUUACCUUUAGAAAAAUAUUUUU